GUGAUAAUGGACGUCAUACUAAACUCCGAAUUAUACACAAGAAACUAAAAUUAAAAAUCAUACAAGACUUACAAAGGCCAGAGGCUCCUGACUUGGGACAGGCGCAAAAUUGCGGCGGGGUUUAACAUGUUUAUGAGAUCUCAAUCCUCCCCUUAUACCUCUAGCCAAUGUAGAAAAGUAAACGCAUAACAAUACGCACAUUAAAUUUCAGUUCAAGAGAAGUCCGAGUCUGAUGUCAGAAGAUGUAAACAAAGAAAAUAAACAAAAUGACAAUAAUACAUAGAUAACAACAGACUACUAGCAGUUAACUGACAUGCCAGCUGCGAAACCUCAAUUAACUGAUUGAAAGAUUAUGUCUUCAUCAUAGGAAUAUCAGGCACAAUCCCUCCCAUUAGGGGUUUAGUUUCAUUCUACAUAACCCUUGUCAUGCCAAC
rnacentral:lncRNA from 1 species